AUUGAACGCUGGCGGCAUGCUUUACACAUGCAAGUCGAACGGCAGCGCGGGCUUCGGCCUGGCGGCGAGUGGCGAACGGGUGAGUAAUACAUCGGAACGUGCCCCGUAGUGGGGGAUAGCUCGGCGAAAGCCGGAUUAAUACCGCAUACGACCUGAGGGUGAAAGCGGGGGAUCUUCGGACCUCGCGCUAUUGGAGCGGCCGAUGGCAGAUUAGCUAGUUGGUGGGGUAAAGGCCUACCAAGGCGACGAUCUGUAGCUGGUCUGAGAGGACGACCAGCCACACUGGGACUGAGACACGGCCAAGACUCCUACGGGAGGCAGCAGUGGGGAAUUUUGGACAAUGGGCGAAAGCCUGAUCCAGCAAUGCCGCGUGUGUGAUGAAGGCCUUCGGGUUGUAAAGCACUUUUGGCGGGAACGAAAAGGACUGUGCCAAUACCACGGUUGGAUGACGGUACCCGCAGAAUAAGCACCGGCUAACUACGUG
rnacentral:rRNA from 1 species